rnacentral:rRNA from 1 species
ACAGUGAUGUAUGGAGCGGGCUGAUACUAAUCGAUCGAGGACUUAACCAA